GUUGAUGUUUUAGGUUCCCAUAGGGUUCAUAGAUGGUAUUCUAGAGUACAGGGUACCGGACAGACAGGUUUUCUGAUUUGGGACCCGAGAGUUAACUCCUACUCUGGAGUAUGCACGAUUGACGAUGUUGACGCUGGACAGACCUUGCGUGCAUAUGGUGACUGGAGACAUGAGCAGGCAGUUCAUGACCCUCACCCGCUUGAGGCGUAGGGUGGUACAUGAUGAG
rnacentral:lncRNA from 1 species